UAGAGGUGGCAGUGGGCGUGCAGGAGAAGCUGUAGGUCGGGAGGUAGAGUUGGCAGUGGGCGUGCAGGAGAAGCUGUAGGUCGGAGAGGUAGAGGUGGCAGUGGGCGUGCAGGAGAAGCUGUAGGUCGGGGGGUAGAGGUGGCAGUGGGCGUGCAGGAGAAGCUGUAGGUCGGGGGGUAGAGGUGGCAGUGGGCGUGCAGGAGAAGCUGUAGGUCGGGAGGUAGAGGUGGCAGUGGGCGUGCAGGAGAAGCUGUAGGUCAGGGGGUAGAGGUGGCAGUGGGCGUGCAGGAGAAGCUGUAGGUCGGAGAGGUAGAGGUGGCAGUGGGCGUGCAGGAGAAGCUGUAGGUCGGGGGGUAGAGGUGGCAGUGGGCGUGCAGGAGAACCUGUAGGUCAGGGGGUAGAGGUGGCAGUGGGCGUGCAAUAGAAGCUGUAGGUCGGGGGGUAGAGGUGGCAGUGGGCGUGCAGGAGAAGCUGUAGGUCAGAGUGGAGAGGUGGCAGUGGGCGUGCAGGAGAAGCUGUAGGUCAGGGGGUAGAGGUGGCAGUGGGCGUGCAGGAGAAGCUGUAGGUCAGGGGGUAGAGGUGGCAGUGGGCGUGCAGGAGAAGCUGUAGGUCAGGAGGUAGAGGUGGCAGUGGGCGUGCAGGAGAAGGUGUAGGUCAGGGGGUAGAGGUGGCAGUGGGCGUGCAGGAGAAGCUGUAGGUCGGGAGGUAGAGGUGGCAGUGGGCGUGCAGGAGAAGCUGUAGGUCAGGGGGUAGAGGUGGCAGUGGGCGUGCAGGAGAAGCUGUAGGUCGGGGGGUAGAGGUGGCAGUGGGCGUGCAGGAGAAGGUGUAGGUCAGGAGGCAGAGGUGGCAGUGGGCGUGCAGGAGAAGCUGUAGGUCGGGAGGUAGAGGUGGCAGUGGGCGUGCAGGAGAAGCUGUAGGUCGGGAGGUAGAGGUGGCAGUGGGCGUGCAGGAGAAGCUGUAGGUCGGAG
rnacentral:lncRNA from 1 species